UACGUAGGGGGCAAGCGUUGUCCGGAGUCAUUGGGCGUAAAGAGCGUGUAGGCGGCCAGAAAAGUCCGCUGUGAAAACUCGAGGCUCAACUUCGAGCUGUCGGUGGAAACUUUCUGGCUAGAGUCCGGAAGAGGAGAAUGGAAUUCCUGGUGUAGCGGUGAAAUGCGCAGAUAUCAGGAAGAACACCAGUUGCGAAGGCGGCCGUCUGGACACAUAUUGACGCUGAGGCUCGAAAGCAUGGGGAGCAAACAGG
rnacentral:rRNA from 1 species